GCAGGGCAUGGAGGCAUAUACACUUGUAAUCCCAGCUGCUGGAGAGGCUGAAACUUGUAGAUUUCUUGAGUUUAGGAAUUCUGAAUUGCAGUGGGCUAUGCCAAUCAGGUGUCCAUAAUAAGUUUGGCAUCGAUAUGGUAAGCCUUUGGGAACAGGGAGUAAUCAGCCCAGGUUGGAAACAGAGGAUGCCAAACAAAGCUCCUAUACUGAUCGCUAGUGGGAUUAGCUCUGUGAGUAGCUCCUGAAUUUCAGGUCUAGUUGGGUAGAACAAGUCUCU
rnacentral:SRP_RNA from 1 species